rnacentral:tRNA from 2 species
UGGUCCGUUGGUCAAGGGGUUAAGACACCGCCUUUUCACGGCGGUAACACGGGUUCGAAUCCCGUACGGACUAUAUU